rnacentral:rRNA from 1 species
AGUUUUUUGGUUUUUUAUAAAAAAUGUUUUCUGCUCAGUGUUUUUAAACAGCCGCGGUAUUUUGACCGUGCAAAGGUAGCAUAAUCAUUUGUUUCGUAAUUGGGGACUAGUAUGAAUGGAAAAACAAGAUUUUUGCUUUAUUUUUUAAAAGACUUGAAUUUGCUUUUUUAGUGAAGAAGCUAGAAUUAGAGUAUAAGACAAGAAGACCCUUUUGAGUUUUAUUUUUUUUUUAGUUUUAUAUUUUAUAAAAAAUUUGGUUGGGGCGACCGAGGAAGAGUUAUCUUCCUUUAUUAUUUUGAUCCAGAGAUUUUGAUUAAUAGAUUAAAUUACCAAAGGGAUAACAGCGUUAUUUUUUUUGAGAGUUCUUAUCAAAAAAUAAGAUUGCGACCUCGAUGUUGACUUAUAAUUUCCUUUAGGUGUAGCCGCUGAUAGGGUGGGUCUGUUCGACCUUUAAAAUUUU